AGAGUUUGAUCCUGGCUCAGAUUGAACGCUGGCGGCAGGCCUAACACAUGCAAGUCGAACGGUAGCACAGAGAGCUUGCUCUUGGGUGACGAGUGGCGGACGGGUGAGUAAUGUCUGGGAAACUGCCCGAUGGAGGGGGAUAACUACUGGAAACGGUAGCUAAUACCGCAUAAUGUCUUCGGACCAAAGUGGGGGACCUUCGGGCCUCACACCAUCGGAUGUGCCCAGAUGGGAUUAGCUAGUAGGUGGGGUAAUGGCUCACCUAGGCGACGAUCCCUAGCUGGUCUGAGAGGAUGACCAGCCACACUGGAACUGAGACACGGUCCAGACUCCUACGGGAGGCAGCAGUGGGGAAUAUUGCACAAUGGGCGCAAGCCUGAUGCAGCCAUGCCGCGUGUAUGAAGAAGGCCUUCGGGUUGUAAAGUACUUUCAGCGGGGAGGAAGGCGUUAAGGUUAAUUU
rnacentral:rRNA from 1 species